CCGACGGUGAGAGAUGAAGCCCUGGGGCGCAAACGGGAUUAGAUACCCCGGUAGUCCAGGGUGUAAACGCUGCGGGCUUGGUGUUGGGGGUCCUUAGUGGGCGCCCAGUGCCGGAGAGAAGUUGUUAAGCCUGCUGCUUGGGGAGUAUGUCCGCAAGGAUGAAACUUAAAGGAAUUGGCGGGGGAGCACCGCAACGGGAGGAGCGUGCGGUUCAAUUGGAUUCAACGCCGAAAAACUCACCAGGAGCGACGGAUAUAUGAAGGUCAAGCUGAUGACUUUACCUGAUUUUCCGAGAGGUGGUGCAUGGCCGUCGUCAGUUCGUACCGUAAGGCGUUCUCUUAAGUG
rnacentral:rRNA from 1 species